rnacentral:rRNA from 1 species
GAUGAACGCUGGCGGCGUGCCUAAUACAUGCAAGUCGAGCGAACAGACGAGGAGCUUGCUCCUCUGACGUUAGCGGCGGACGGGUGAGUAACACGUGGAUAACCUACCUAUAAGACUGGGAUAACUUCGGGAAACCGGAGCUAAUACCGGAUAAUAUAUUGAACCGCAUGGUUCAAUAGUGAAAGACGGUUUUGCUGUCACUUAUAGCUGGAUCCGCGCCGCAUUAGCUAGUUGGUAAGGUAACGGCUUACCAAGGCAACGAUGCGUAGCCGACCUGAGAGGGUGAUCGGCCACACUGGAACGGAGACACGGUCCAGACUCCUACGGGAGGCAGCAGUAGGGAAUCUUCCGCAAUGGGCGAAAGCUUGACGGAGCAACGCCGCGUGAGUGAUGAAGGUCUUCGGAUCGUAAAACUCUGUUAUUAGGGAAGAACAAAUGUGUAAGUAACUAUGCACGUCUUGACGGUACCUAAUCAGAAAGCCACGGCUAACUACGUG